CAUGUCUACUGUUUUUCUUUUCACAGGUUAUGCCCAGCGCAAGUGUCAUCAUAAAAAUGGAGUCUGCGUGAAUCCUCCCUGUCACAAAUCCGCCCCCAUCAACAUUGGGAAAGAGGACUGUAAAGACAGAGCAACAUGCUGUCGACCCCGCAGUGGAAAAUGAUACCAUCUCCAUCUACCAUCCUGGACGUUUUCAAGAUAUGGCUGAUGACCUAAGAUUACCGCCUCCUAUCAUUUUAUCUUUCUUUACAUGAAUCAAAUUGCUAUCUAUGAAAAAAAUAUGCAUUGAAGUAACAUUUGGUAAAUAUUCCUUGAAAUAAAGCUAAAUGAGCAUUGCAGAUAUUGUGCAA